rnacentral:rRNA from 1 species
AUUGAACGCUGGCGGCAUGCCUAACACAUGCAAGUCGAGCGGAUGAACUCAUCUUGCUCCUGGUUUCCGCGGCGGGCGGGUGUGUAAUGCCUAUGAAUCUUCCUCGUAGUGCGGGAUGACAUCCGUAAACGAGUGCUUAUACCGCAUACUUCCUGCGGGUGAAGGUUGGUGAUCUUCAGAGCUCACGGUUUCAGAUUAUCCUCGGUCGGUUUAGCUAGUUUGUGGGGUAAAUGCCUACCAAGGCGAAGAUCCGUAACUCGUCUGAGAGGAUGAUCAGUCACACUAGAACUGAGACACGGACCAGACUCCUAAGAGAGGCAGCAGUGGGGAAUAGGAGACAAUGGGCGAAAGCAUGAUCCAGCCAGGGCGCGUGUGUGAAGGAGGUCUUCGGAGUGGAAAGAACGUUAAGGGGGGAGAAAGGGCAGUAAGUAAAGACCAUGCGGUUGUGACGUUACCAGCAGAAGAAGCACCGGCUAACUUCGUG